AUUGAACGCUGGCGGCAGGCCUAACACAUGCAAGUCGAGCGGAUGAAGGGAGCUUGCUCCUGGAUUCAGCGGCGGACGGGUGAGUAAUGCCUAGGAAUCUGCCUGGUAGUGGGGGAUAACGUCCGGAAACGGGCGCUAAUACCGCAUACGUCCUGAGGGAGAAAGUGGGGGAUCUUCGGACCUCACGCUAUCAGAUGAGCCUAGGUCGGAUUAGCUAGUUGGUGGGGUAAAGGCCUACCAAGGCGACGAUCCGUAACUGGUCUGAGAGGAUGAACAGUCAAACUGGAACUGAGACACGGUCCAGACUCCUACGGGAGGCAGCAGUGGGGAAUAUUGGACAAUGGGCGAAAGCCUGAUCCAGCCAUGCCGCGUGUGUGAAGAAGGUCUUCGGAUUAUAAAGCACUUUAAGUUGGGAGGAAGGGCAGUAAGUUAAUACCUUGCUGUUUUGACGUUACCAACAGAAUAAGCACCGGCUAACUUCGUG
rnacentral:rRNA from 1 species